rnacentral:tRNA from 1 species
AGUAUGAAAUCUUUUGUGUAAGUGUUAAAUUCUUAAUUUAAUUUAGGAGAAUUUUCAAAGUUUAAUUUUUCUCAUAUUG